UACCAAUGAAUCAAAACAAUUUAUUGUUCAUGUAUUCUUUCACAGGAAGCUGUUGGAAGAGGUACACCACCAAAAUGAGGGAAUAAACUCAUUUAAGACAGAAGAUUCAGGAAACUGGAAUACUCAACAUGAGAGAGGUGAAGAGCAACAAACCCAGAUUAUUAUAGCAGAGAUUUCCAGGAGACAAUGUCUUUAGAGGGGAAAAAAAAUUUAGAUUACAUGAUGUCUUUGAACCCACUAAGAGACUUCUAUUCCUGGAGGACAGUUAGGGUCUAAGUUAAUGUGUGCUACACAGAACACUGAGCAAAUGAAACAGUAAAGCAAUUACAUUAUUAACUCCAAAAAACUUAAAACAGGAAUUGGACACCCCCCAAAAAAAUGUAAUUACAGAUACCACACAACCCAGUUGUGAAUAGUAUUUACAUAGUCAAAAUAGUAUAAAUAUUGAAUGUUAUCCAAAAGUGUGAUGUGAUUGCACUGUACUGGGAUGAUGGAGAAGGAAGCUAUGUGUUUAGGGAAGAGGCAAAAGGAAUACAUCUUCAUCUUCAUCUCCAAGAUAGAUCAAUAAAGCCUAAAAGUGAAAUAUCAAGAAAUAGCCUAAUAAUCAUGUUACUUAGAAUCAUGUUAUAGAGAUAAGUCAUAUUACAGAGAUAAAUAGAAAAAUCACUAAAAGAUUUGAAAGUGGUUAUCUCUUUAGCAAGAGCAGGGAAAGAGAUGCCUGGGUGGCUCAGCCAUUGAACACCUGCCUUUGGCUCAGGGCCUGAUCCUGGAUUCCUGGGAUCAAGUCCCACAUCGGACUCCUUGCAAGAAGCCUGCUUCUCCUCUCUCUGCCUGUGUCUCUGCCUCUCUUUUUGUGUCUCUCAUGAAUACAUAAAAUCUUUAAAAAAUAAAAGGAACAGAGGAGAGUUCUGUUUUUCAUUUUAAGUCUUGGGGGAAAAACUUUAUUAACUUAAAAUUAUUUACUUAUUAUCAUGAAAUUAAAUAAAACAAUAAAUGAAAGAUAAGUUACAUUUAUGGGCUAAUGCAAAUAAUUCUAUACAGUAUACUUACCAAAUGAUCCUGACAAUAAAGACUCUAACAGGCAAAACUCAAAAACUGGAUUGUAGUUCAUAUCCAGCAACACUGGAGUACAAAAAAAUGAUUAAACAGACUACUUCAUUUUUGAAUCAGGGGAAAGGGGAAGGGGAAGAGGUAAGAAAUAAGCUUACCAAAUUGUAUAGUAUUCCAUAGUAAAAUCACAGAGUAUUAUAGUAGAAAGAAAUCUUCUAUAUUGGCUAACAAUUUAUUUCCCUCAUUUUACAGUUACUUGUCCAGGGUUACACAGAUGGUUUGUGCAGAAUCAGACCCUCUGCUCUUUUUUUUUUUUUUUAUUUAAAUUUAUUUAUUUAUGAUAGUAACAGAGGGAGAGAGAGAGGCAGAGACACAGGCAGAGAGAAGCAGGCUCCAUGCACCGAGAGCCCGACGUGGGAUUCGAUCCCGGGUCUCCAGGAUCGCGCCCUGGGCCAAAGGCAGGCGCCAAACCGCUGCGCCACCCAGGGAUCCCAAAGGAUAAUCUUUCAACAGACCCUCUGCUCUUAACUCUCACAUGCUUUUCAUUUCAUCACAAUGCAUUUUUAAAUAAUGAUUAUGAAAUAAAUAUAUUUGCGUUCCUAGUGACAUAUUCAUUAGUACUUUUUUUGUUUUAAAAACGGAGUCUACUUGAAAGAAAAUAUAUAGAGAGAGGUGAUUGUAGAUCCAACAAAGGUAUCACAUAGCCAGGCUACAUAUGUCAUUAUGCCUUGUUUCAUUGACUGGAAAUGUUCAAGAAAGGCAUUUGAUAGGGAGAAGAGUAACAUUAGAACAAGCAAAUAGGGGCACUGGGUGGCUCAGUGGUUGAGCAUCUGCCUUUGGCUCGGGGCGUGAUCCCCAGGUCCUGGGAUUGAGUCCCACAUCAGGCUCCCCCAGGGAGCCUACUUCUCCCUCUAUGUCUCUGCCUCUCUCUGUGUCCCUCAUGAAUAAAUAAAUAAAAUCUUAAAAAAAAAAAAAUAACUUGCCCCUCACCACACACACACAAAAAAGUAAAAACCUAAGUUUUAAGUUAAAGCACAUUGGUGUUUUACUUAAGCAUUAAACAAGUACAAUAAAGGAAAAAUAUCUGUAACUGAACUCUUUUCCUACUUCUCAUAGGAUGGAAUGGAAGGAACUGAGAAUUUUUGAAAUUUUUAGGCUGUCAACUUUAUUUGGCCCAAGCUGUAGGUUCAUUCCUUCUUUACGUACCUUGAAAUGUGUAUUUUCCUGCAAUUUGUAUUACUGUUCAAAUGAUUCAGAACACCCUUACUCAAAUAGCUAGUCAUGCUCUAGAAUCUAUAAUUUGCUGAAAGUGGGUUUUGGCAACAAUUUCAUAAGGAAAAAAUACAGUGCCUGAUAGUUUAAAAGAACUGAUUCAACAAAAGGAUUAGGGGAGGGGUUCAGUAGAUUUUUGAUAAAUAGUACGUUACACUGGCUACUUGGUGUAAUAGGUUUUUAAGAUAUAUCUGAGUGUGUGAAUUAGCAGGAAUAUCAAAAAGUGGCCCAAAGCUAAUGCAGAGGACCCAUUAUUAUCAGUUACUACCUAUCAUUCAAGUUUGGGUCAAGUUCCUCAUCAAAUAUCAGGAGGAACUUCAAUUUGGAUAAAAAAUAAGGCUGUCAAAAUAUUUUUUGCUCUUCUAAUUUACUAAUUACACAUUACAUAAAAAUUCUCCUUACCUUGGCAAAAGGGAGGAGCAUAAAAAGUAGUAGCACCAAAAUCGUCAUUAUUACUCAGUCUAUUCUGUGCUAAAAUCUAUACUAUAACAUUCCUGAGUUUGAGAUUCUGAAUAAGACUAAACACCUCAGAGGUAUCUAACAAACACCUGUAAGCUGUUGAUUUAAAUGGCAUUAGAUCAAUAUAUAGUAUUUUCCUAUUAGGCUUUCCUAAAAUAUACAUAUUCCUAUUCUCUAAAGAUAUUCAUUUUUCAAAAAGCUCUUGUGUCUUUCAAUAUUGGAAAAAAAAAAAAGAGUAAAAGGAAGAGCUGAUUUUCCAAGAUAGGAAACUAAGUGGCUUCUAAUUUGUUCAGCUCAUUCUACGUCACACAUACUACUCUAGUCAAAUGGCCUCUAGACCAUUCUGCAACUGAACAGAGCAGACACAAUGCUUCAUGAAAGUGGUAACUGGGCAGCUACAAAGCACUCAGAUCCUUGUUUACUACUGUAUAUUUAAUCACACAAAUAUCACCCA
rnacentral:lncRNA from 1 species